rnacentral:misc_RNA from 1 species
GCUCUGCUUCACAAUCUCAUUCCAACCAUUGCUAUUGCAUUGCCAAGCUAUUUAAUUGACUGCCUGUCCAAUUAAAUGAAUGGAUGGCUAAAGGUAAAAAAUCUAGGGUUAUCUCUGUGUCAGUGCCAAUAUUUAGCUAAUUUUGUUGCCAUGGUUUUGAUGUUGUGGCAUUUGGUUUUAGGGGUUGUAUCAAAGAUGGAUGCAAUUAGUUUCAGUAAAGUUGAAAUUUUUGUGUGGGUGUGGCUUGGACAAGAGGAUCAGAUCCGAUGAAAAGAAAUUGUUUUGUGUUCUAUUUUUUAAUUCUCAAUUUUUUUUAUCCUUUAUUAUGAAGCUUGUGUUAAAUUCAAUAACAGCCUACUUAUUUUUUGCUUUAGUUGUGCAGUUUUGUAAUGAUGAAGAAUGCAGAUUGUAUACAUGAAUAUGGAGAAGCUUAUGAAGAUGGUUGGUGCAGGGAGAAAAGAGGCAGAGAUGCUGGA